UACGUAGGGGGCUAGCGUUGUCCGGAAUCAUUGGGCGUAAAGAGCGUGUAGGCGGUCCGGUAAGUCCGCUGUGAAAGUCGGGGGCUCAACCCUCGAAUGCCGGUGGAUACUGUCGGGCUAGAGUGCGGAAGAGGCGAGUGGAAUUCCUGGUGUAGCGGUGAAAUGCGCAGAUAUCAGGAGGAACACCGGUGGCGAAGGCGGGUCUCUGGGCCGAUACUGACGCUGAUGCGCGAAAGCUAGGGGAGCGAACGGG
rnacentral:rRNA from 1 species